AUACGUAGGGAGCGAGCGUUGUCCGGAAUUACUGGGUGUAAAGGGUGCGUAGGAGGGACUGCAAGUCAGAUGUGAAAUGCCGGGGCUCAACCCCGGAGCUGCAUUUGAAACUGUGGCUCUUGAGUGAGGUAGAGGUAAGCGGAAUUCCUAGUGUAGCGGUGAAAUGCGUAGAUAUUAGGAGGAACAUCGGUGGCGAAGGCGGCUUACUUGGCCCUUACGGACGCUGAGGCACGAAAGCGGGGGGAGCAAACAGGAUGAGAUACCCUGGUAGUCCACGCUGUAAACGAUGAUGACUAGGUGUGGGGGGACUGAACCCUUCCGUGCCGCAGUUAACACGAUAAGUCAUCCACCUGGGGAGUACGGCCGCAAGGUUGAAACUCAAAUGAAUUGACGGGG
rnacentral:rRNA from 1 species